AGAGUUUGAUCCUGGCUCAGAUUGAACGCUGGUGGUAUGCCUAACACAUGCAAGUCGAGCGGCAGCAGGGAAGUAGCUUGCUACUUCCGCUGGCAAGCGGCGGACGGGUGCGUAACGCGUGGGAAUCUGCCCGAUAGUGGGGGACAACAGCUGGAAACGGCUGCUAAUACCGCAUGACGCCUUCGGGUGAAAGGUGGCUCUUUGAGCUGCCGCUAUCGGAUGAGCCCGCGUUGGAUUAGCUAGUUGGUGGGGUAAAGGCCUACCAAGGCGAUGAUCCAUAGCUGUUCUUAGCGGAAGAUCAGCCACACUGGGACUGAGACACGGCCCAGACUCCUACGGGAGGCAGCAGUGGGGAAUAUUGGACAAUGGGGGAAACCCUGAUCCAGCAAUACCAUGUGUGUGAAGAAGGCCUUAGGGUUGUAAAGCACUUUAGUUGGGGAAGAAGUACUAAGAGUGAAUAGCCCUUAGCAUUGACAUUACCCAAAGAAUAAGCACCGGCUAACUCCGUGCCAGCAGCCGCGGUAAUACGGAGGGUGCGAGCGUUAAUCGGAAUUACUGGGCGUAAAGGGUCCGUAGGUGGCUCAAUCAGUCGGGUGUGAAAGACCUGGGCUCAACCUGGGAAGUGCAUUCGAUACUGUUGAGCUAGAGUAUGGCAGAGGAUUGGGGAAUUUCCGGUGUAGCGGUGAAAUGCGUAGA
rnacentral:rRNA from 1 species